rfam:Trichobilharzia regenti genome assembly, scaffold: TRE_scaffold0002773
AUUCAGCUGACGAGUCCCAAGUAGGACGAAAUGCGCAUCCUGGAU